rnacentral:rRNA from 1 species
UGGGGAAUAUUGCACAAUGGGCGAAAGCCUGAUGCAGCAACGCCGCGUGAGUGAUGAAGGUCUUCGGAUUGUAAAGCUCUGUCUUUUGGGACGAUAAUGACGGUACCAAAGGAGGAAGCCACGGCUAACUACGUGCCAGCAGCCGCGGUAAUACGUAGGUGGCGAGCGUUGUCCGGAUUUACUGGGCGUAAAGGGUGCGUAGGCGGAUGUUUAAGUGAGUGUGAAAUACCCGGGCUUAACUUGGGUGCUGCAUUUCAAACUGGAUAUCUAGAGUGCAGGAGAGGAGAAUGGAAUUCCUAGUGUAGCGGUGAAAUGCGUAGAGAUUAGGAAGAACACCAGUGGCGAAGGCGAUUCUCUGGACUGUAACUGACGCUGAGGCACGAAAGCGUGGGUAGCAAACAGGAUUAGAUACCCUGUAGUCCACGCCGUAAACGAUGAGUACUAGGUGUAGGAGGUAUCGACCCCUUCUGUGCCGCAGUAAACACAUUAAGUACUCCGCCUGGGAAGUACGAUCGCAAGAUUAAAAC